UGAGGUGUCGUUGACUGUCAUAUUUUAUUCAUUAAAUGUUUUUGUGCGACAAUGG
ensembl:ncRNA C09D8.6 ncRNA